AAGUCGAACGGACUCUUCGGAGUUAGUGGCGGACGGGUGAGUAACGCGUGAGAAUCUACCCUUAGGUUGGGGACAACAGUUGGAAACGACUGCUAAUACCCAAUGUGCCGAGAGGUGAAAGGUUUACUGCCUGAGGAUGAGCUCGCGUCUGAUUAGCUAGUUGGUGGGGUAAGAGCGUACCAAGGCGACGAUCAGUAGCUGGUCUGAGAGGAUGAUCAGCCACACUGGGACUGAGACACGGCCCAGACUCCUACGGGAGGCAGCAGUGGGGAAUUUUCCGCAAUGGGCGAAAGCCUGACGGAGCAAGACCGCGUGCGGGAGGACGGCCUGUGGGUUGUAAACCGCUUUUGAUAGGGAAGAAGAUCUGACGGUACCUAUCGAAUCAGCAUCGGCUAACUCCGUGCCAGCAGCCGCGGUAAUACGGAGGAUGCAAGCGUUAUCCGGAAUUAUUGGGCGUAAAGCGUCCGUAGGUGGUUGAGUAAGUCUGCUGUUAAAGCGUGGAGCUUAACUCCAUACCGGCAGUGGAAACUACUGGACUAGAGUGCGGUAGGGGUCAGGGGAAUUCCCAGUGUAGCGGUGAAAUGCGUAGAUAUUGGGAAGAACACCGGUGGCGAAAGCGCCUGACUGGGCCUGCACUGACACUGAGGGACGAAAGCUAGGGGAGCGAAAGGGAUUAGAUACCCCUGUAGUCCUAGCUGUAAACGAUGGGCACUAGGCGUUGGCCGUAUCGACCCGGUCAGUG
rnacentral:rRNA from 1 species